rnacentral:rRNA from 1 species
GACGACCGCUGGCGGCGUGCCUAAUACAUGCAAGUAGAACGAGUGGCGGACGGGUGAGUAAUGUCUGGGAAACUGCCUGAUGGAGGGGGAUAACUCCUGGAAACGGUAGCUAAUACCGCAUACCAUCAUAUGUGCCCAGAUGGGAUUAGCUAGUAGGUGGGGUAACGGCUCACCUAUGCGACGAUCCCUAGCUGGUCUGAGAGGAUGACCAGCCACACUGGAACUGAGACACGGUCCAGACUCCUACGGGAGGCAGCAGUGGGGAAUAUUGCACAAUGGGCGCAAGACUGAUACAGCCAUGCCGCGUGUAUGAAGAAGGCCUUCGGGUUGUAAAGUACUUUCAGCGGGGAGGCGUUACUCGCAGAAGAAGCACCGGCUAACUCCGUGCCAGCAGCCGCGGUAAUUC